GACAGAAGGUGCAAGCGUUACUCGGAAUUACUGGGCGUAAAGCGUCUGUAGGUUUUUGGCCACGUCUGGCGUGAAAUUUCAGGGCUCAACCCUGUCCCCACGCUGGAAACGAGCUAGAUAGAGUCAUUCAGGGGCAUCUGGAAUGUCGUGUGUAGGGGUAAAAUGCGUAGAUAUCGAGAGGAACACCUGCGGCGAAGGCGGGUUGCUGGGCUGACACUGACGCUGAAGCGCGAAAGCUAGGGGAGCGAACGGG
rnacentral:rRNA from 1 species